UAUAGAUGCCCUGAAGGAGAGUCCAAAUUCAGAAGAGCUGUAUCAAUCCAUAUUUACCAACCAGUCCUUAUAGCUUUGGUUUCCGCCAGUUAACCUGAGCAAAUCAAUUUUACCUCCAACAGCUUGGAAAAGAAAUUAUCCAUCCUGUUAGGAAGGAAUGGAGACUCAACAGCCUGCCUGGGAACCUGAGUAUGGCCACAGAUGUGAUUCGGCAUAGACAUCUAACAGAUGUUUAAGGCAUUGCAUGGAAACCUCGUCUAGUCUGCUACAGUUGUUUUAGCUGUUGCCUUCCUGCUAAAGUGCUGAACUGGGGAAAAAGGCAGGAUGAUGUUUACGUUUGUGCUGAUGGCGAUGAUUAUCACGAUGAUCAUGAUGGCGAUGACAAUGACGAUGAUAAUAUUGACAUUAUUAAUAACGGAAGGUGGAAGGA